CCUCCAGCCAGGGUUGAUAGAGGGGGUUCGAGGGAGGGAGGGAGGGAGGGAGAGAGCACCAGUGAAAUGGAUCAAUGGAGUGGAUGAGUAUUAGAGUUGGCGGGAGGGAUUGAUGAGCUGAUAAGAAGUACCACAAGAGGUAAAACAGGAGAGGCUUUUGCCGUAGAUAUUUCCUUAAAAGAAUCUCCCGUUAGAGGACUAGGCGUUGGAGAUUGAUGAACCGACCGUGAGUUGGCGGGGAGGGAUUGACAAGCUGAUCAUAAGGGCCACAAGGGGUAAAACAGGAGACCCUUUUGCAGUAGACAUUUCCUUAAAAGAACUUCCCGCGAGAGGACAAGGCGUUGGAGACAGAUAAACCGACCGUGAUGGAUAGGUACAAAAGUAUGAUAGCGAUGAAGAUAAAAAAUAGAUAGAUAGUGACUGAUAUAAAUAGUAGCAAAAUGGCACCGGAGAAAGAUAAACAUAGUGAUGGAUAGAGAGCAGUUUAAGCACACCGGAUAUAGAUAAAAAAAAUAGUUAAAGGACUAGGCGAUGGAGAUAGACAAACCGACGGUGAUUGAUAGAUACAAAAAUAUGAUAGCGAUGAAGAUAGAAACAGAUAGAUAGUCACUGAUAUAUAGUAGUAAAAUGGCGCCGGAUAGAUAAAUAUAAUGAAAGAUAGACAGUAGUUUAAUAGCAUCGGAGACAGAGAAAAAUAAAUUGUGAAAGAUACAUAUAACACAAUGAUAGUUCCGGAGAUAUAAACAGAUAGACAGAAAGGCAAAUAAUAAGAUAAUAGCACCGGAGAUAGAUAGAAAGACAGCGAUAGAUAGAUUUAAAUUGAGGUAAUGUGUCACCCCGACGUUGGCUGAAACUACAUUUUGUCAGACUAAUUAGAUUUAGCUUCCCGGAGUAAUGAGAUUCGAGACAGCAGAUAAAAACAGGCUGCGAAAUAACGUGUAACUGACCGUCCCUCGUUAUGUUAGCUCCGAAUGUGAUAAAUUGAACGACUUUUUUUUAAUUUUUACAGUAAAGGAAGAAGCUCAUGGGCAAAAAAUAAAGUGAGGAUAUAAAAGCCCGCUAAUCGCUGCUCCUAUAAGAAAAGAGUAGAAAAAAGAGUAAGGAAAGCACAGGAAAGGAGAGGAAAGGAAUGGCAGCAGAAAAAAGGGAAAGAAAAGAAUUAGCAGAAGUAGAGAGUAGCAAAAGAGAGGUUAAUACCGAACUAUAUAAUGAGAGAUCUCCUUCCCUACUUCCCUCCAACUCUCCCUCCUUCCUUCCUUCUUUCUCUCCCUCCCUCUCCCUACUUCCCUCUAUCUGUCCCUCAUUCCUUCCUUCUCUCUCUCUCUCCCUCCCUCUCCCUCCUUCCCUCCCUUCAAGAUCAGUUUUUUUUCUGGUUCUCAUAAAGUUCAACCUUAAAAAAAAUUAUCCCAUACCUCCCCAAAAGAUCGUAAAAUUCAAACACAAAAAGAAAACUAUCGUAAAGGCUAUGCAAAAACAAUAUAUUAGGGAAGGGAGGGAAGGACAAGAGGAGGAGGAGGAGGAGGAGGAGGAGGAGGAGGAGGAGGAGGAGGAAGGUUCAAUAUUAGCCAACUUUUUUUUGUCUUCCUCACUCGCUGAAAGUUUCAACGCUUCCAAACUUUCCAAAUACGAAAUCUUAUGCAAAAAAUCAAAGACCGGACCCUUCUUCUUUUUACCUUUCUCUACUUUAUCUUCACCUCCCUUUCACUUUCAUUACCUUUUCUUCCCCAUGAGGAGAAUAUGGCUCUGAUCUUUUGACAUAUUUUCCUGCUUUACCUAAAUUUCACGGACUCCAAAAAUUCCUCCCUUUCCCAAUUACGUAUUAAAAUUCCAACACAAAGGAAAAACAACAUACUGACCACGCAAGAAAAAAAAAAUAAAGGUGGAGAAAGAUAUCACAAGUUUUUUUUCUGUCUUGCUCAUUCGCCAAAACUUUCCCAGCUUCCAAACUUUCAAAAUCUUUAGGGAAAAAAAAUAAUUUGGUCCUUUUAGUGACAUUAAUUCCAGGCGGGCGGGCAAGAGCAGAAGAAGGAAGGAAGGUCGCCGACGCCGCACCGCCCACAGCGCCGCGCAGCCCUCUGUCGGCGACCCGCGGCGCCUCCACAAUGCAUGUCACGUGAACAAGUCUUAAUUAACGUCCGGGAAAGUUUAAAUGAGUCGCCGCGGCAAUAAAACUAAUAAUAAUCUCAAGGCCGCGCGAAGGAAGGGAGGAAGGUCUUGUGGUGGGGCUGUCGGGCGAUCAUUUUUUAUAUACGUAAUUAGUUUUUCUUUUGCUUCAGGAUUAUGAUUUUCUCCCGUUUUCUUUCAUGUUUUUCUUUGAUUCCAUUUUCUUUGAGCAUUUAUUUCUUCGAUUAUAUAUUUUUUUUGUUGGGGGGGACUAAAAUAUUUCGAGGGAUUGUAAUUUUCUUUUUAUGUUUUCGUCUAAUUCAGUUUUAUGUGUCUAUAGAUUUCUUCAUUUAUAUUUUUGCACGUCUAAUAAAUUUCUAGGGAAGUUUUUUAAUAUUUUUUUAUAUGUGGUUCCGUCUAAGUUCUCUUUUAUAUGUAAGAAUCACGAUUAUAAUUUCUUUUGGUUUAAUUUUACGUACCCAAUUAUUUUUUUCUCUCCUGAUAGAAGUACAGAUUGGAAUGGCGCGUACAAAAUGGCAGACACACCCUUAACAUUCCCAUAGAUCCAUGACGUCAUCACUAUCCCUAAGAAAACCCACCAACCAGCUCGCUCGGACUCGUGACGUCACCAACAUACCUGGCAUGCCUACGAAUCAUCAAUAACCAGAACUUAAGCCGGGAACACAUUCCUAACACAACAAACACACAUCAGGAAAAGUUACGUGACAGCCUCUGAGUCAUCCGUCGUUCAGAUAGUUUGGGUAGGUGAAACAUAGCCGUGGAGCCCCCCUUAUAAAUACCUUUGCUCCUCACACACACACAACCUCUAGUGCUCCCCAAUUUCUAUAUCUCAUGGGUUUUUUUUUCUGUGUAUUGUUAUUGCUCUUUCAUAACACACUGAAUACAUAUCGUUCAGUUGCAUACAAACUUUUACCAUUCAUCUGUCAAUCCUUUCUACUGCCUUUCUUUAACACGGUGAAUUCAUCUCGUUCAUUUACAUAAGAACCUCUAUCAUCUAUUUGUCAAUACCUUUACUCUCUUUCUCAACACUGAAUACACAUCGUCUAGUUACAUAAGAACCUGUAUCAUUCAUCUGUCAAUACUUUCUACUGCCUUUUUUUAACACGGUGAAUUCAUCUCGUUCAGUUACAUAAGAACCUCUAUCAUCUAUUUGUCAAUACCUUUACCCUCUUUCUCAACACUGAAUACACAUCGUCUAGUUACAUAAGAACCUGUAUCAUUCAUCUGUCAAUCCUUUCUACUGCCUUUUUUUAACACGGUGAAUUCAUCUCGUUCAGUUACAUAAGAACCUCUAUCAUCUAUUUGUCAAUACCUUUACUCUCUUUCUCAACACUGAAUACACAUCGUCUAGUUACUUAAGAACCUCUAUCAUUCAUCUGUCAAUCCUUUCUACAUUCUUUCUUAGCAUGCUGAAUACAUAUCGUCCUGAGUGACAUAAGAGUCUGUGUCAUUCAUCUGCUGAUACCUUCUAUUUCCUGACACAUUGAACAAACUCCUUUCAGUAAGUAAUAACAUCAAUCGCCAUCUGUCCACAUUUCUUAGCAUGACACAUUUGAUACAUACCGUCCAGUGCUACAAAAGAUCGACUAACAUUUGUCAUUUUUCUAUAGCUUUCUUUAUCACUCAACAGAACAUCCCAUUUGCCUAAUUCCAGACCUCUCAUCAAAACUUUUAUGCAACAUUUCCUUAUAAACGUAUUCUAACAUUCGACAUUUUUCUACAACUUUCUUUAUCACUCAACAGGAUAUCCUAUUUGCCUAAUUCCAAAACUUUCAUCGUAACUUCUAUAUAACAUUCCCUAACUCGUACUGCUGUCUUGAACUCCCCUUCCCAAUUUCCUAAAACCUCUAUUGAACACUUAACAGAACCCCAUCUAGUCGUAAGCAUCAACCUCUAUCGUAACUUACAAGACUCCUUCAGCAUUUCCAAGAACCUUUUAUCGUCACAUCAGAAUCUACCUUUAUCUCUGUCUUAAACUCCCUUUCAUAACUUUCUAGAACCCAAUCAAUCCUUAACAGCACCUCCUUUCAUUACAACCAAGAACAAUUCGUCAACACUCUUUACAAACCUCAUUCUUCACUUCCCUUCCUACGGUGCGAUCCUUUAUCAAUACAAUGAAAAUUUAUCGCCUCCUUCAUAACCUCCCUUUUUAUCACUGACUAGAAAAAAACUUUCGACAACACUCUUUAAAAAUCUCCUUCUCCUUCCAAUCCCUUCCUACAACACGAACCUUUAUCACUACCAAGAACCUUCACUGACCUUUACCAGAAACUCCCUUUAUAUCACUGACUAGAAGCACCUCUCGUCAACACUCCUCUUAAACAUCUUUCAUUUCUUUCACUCCCUAUCCUACAAUACCUCUUCUUGGCCCCAUCAGGACCCACAUACCUUGGUGCUCGCUCGUGCUGCUCACCGGACCGCCAACACAGCAACAACAGGAGGGGACAAAGACGUUGAAAUUACCAUACAAAGCAGGAAUGCCGAACGAAAAGCCUUGGACGAACGGAGAUGGAACGGCCCGGACACAUGGGCAGACGAGACGAACGAAGAUUUAAGAGACAGGUGGCGUUCAUUCACGACCAUGACCUUUUAGACGACCAUCUAUUGUCUGUCUAAAGCACGUGGGAGAAGGGAGAGUCGAGCUACCUUCUCCUCUUCCUCCUCCUCCUCCUCUUCGGUAUCGUCAGCGCCUUCUACACGUUCAGUCUUCGUGUGUGUCUCUUCCAGCCAGGGAACAAAGACAGUGAGAAGUCUUUGGGGGAGCAACGGUCGAAACUGGAGCCUUUUGGGGGAGAGCGAAGGAGGGAGGAGGAAUCCGAAGGGAGCCGGAAUAGGGAGAGGAGUCUUUAGGGGAGCAAGGAAGAGAAACUGGAGCCUUGAGGGACCACAUGGAGGCUUCGUGUGGGUGAGGGGAGACGUCAGCGUUAGGGAGAAACAAGAGGAUGGUUAAGGGUAGGAAAAAACAUGGAUGGGGUGUGAGAUGGAGUCCUGUGGCAAUGGAAGAGAGUACUGGGGAUGAAGAAGAGUAAUGAGAGGGAGUGUGUGGGUGACUGGGACGAAAUUAGAUAUAAAGAUUAAUGGAGGGAGGGCGUCGGUGUGAGAUGGAGUCCGGUGGCUAAGGACGCGAGGGCUACGGGAAAAAGGGAGCGGGGAGAAAGUGAGAAAACGUGUGGGACGAAAAUAUAUAGACCCUUAAGGCGAGGGCUGGCGAGGGGCCGAUAAAAGUGAUAAAAACGCCUCGCUGUCACUCCCUUUAAAAACCGCCGAGAAAAACGUGAAUUCAAAUUUCGAAACUUGAACGCCCCGACGCUUCCCCUCCUGCAGAACUCGAAGUUGGGCGAAGAAAAAGUGGGAUGAAGAAGACUGCGACUGUUCCGGGAUUAACGAAGGGGAGUGGAGGUUAGCGAAGUACCGGGAAGAACUAUUGGUAAGGACAGUUGUGAGUCGUGAGGGGUCGGCCACGGAGACACCCUCUUGUAGGACUCGAAGUUGGACUAAGAAAAAAGUGGGACUUCGACCGAGUGUUCCAUGAUUAACAAAGGUGAGUGUCGGUUAGCGAAGUACCGGGAAGAACUAUUGGUAAGGACAGUUAUGAGUCGUGAGGGGUCGGCCACGGAGACACCCUCUUGCAGGACUCGAAGUUGGAC